GCAGGGCGCGGCCGAGCAGCGGAGCUCGCUCUGCUCGGCCGGCCUCGGGCAAGAAGAAGGCGACUGGGCUGUGCAGGGCCGAGCUCCCCCCUCUGAAGGCACGGCUCCCGGGGCAGCAGAGGAGAAUGCCAGUUUGGAUCAAUGCCCCUGGCUCAGCCAUCAGUAAGGGAGGAGAAGGAGCAGCAUCUCGGUCCUCGUGGGCUGAUAUCUUCGAAUUGAAAUGAAGGAGAGACCAAACAUUCACAAAAAAUGUACCAGGGAAAUGCAGUACUGCUGUGUGAGAGAGCAAGGACACUCCUCUUAACCAGUCCUUCAUGUAUUUAUUCCGAACCCUUGAUAAGUCUGCAGGGUGUUGCAUGCUGCAAACACUGACAUUUGAUAUCUAAUUGUUGUAGUGCUAUUGCUGCUAAGUAUUAAGUGAAAAUGGAAAUAAAAAGUUGGAUGGGGGCCUUGGGCAGCCCGGUCUAGUAUUAAAUGGGGAGGUUGGUGGCCAUGCCAGUUACAGAGGUGUUGCAGAUUCAUGAUCCCUGAGGUCCCUUCCAACCUGGGCCAUUCUGUGAUUCUCUAAUAUUCAAGGUAUUGUUUUCCUACGUGUGUUUUUAUGCAUUCUUUUUUUGUUGUGGUUGUUGUCAGUUCCCGGGUUUUGUAUGUUGUACCUGGUGGUAUUUGAGCACUGUAUUCAUUUUUGGAUUGGUUUGAUUUCUUUCUCAACAUGAAGUCUGAAUGAAUGGUUCUAGAGCAUUUCAGGAUUAUGGAAUAUAGAUAUGAAGAGAUAAUAAAAUCUUCAAAGCCAUGUGCUAUUUCCCAUUGCUCACAUAUUUCCUAGAGUUGAAUGCCUGGUCACAGAAACCAAUAAAAUCUGCUGAGAAAUCUGUCAGAAGAUGAGCUUCAAUCUUACGUACAAAGUUAUUAUUGUAGUGAAAAGGUGCAUUAAGGCUCACUGUUGCUGUUACAGCCUUCUCCACCUGAAGCUGAAGGAGAACGUGUCCCUAUGAAAUGAGGGCAGUGAUUGUGAG
rnacentral:lncRNA from 1 species